CAAAAAGCGUUAAAGCUUUUUUGCUUCUACCAAAAAUCCCAUCAAUUUACUGUAACCCGCAACCCAUACUGAAUGACUUCAUAUUCAUAUGAAGAACCAAAUGUUAGAACUAGUAACAAGAAGCAGAACUUCUCCAAAUGUGAGCGUAAGCCAAAAUGAACAACUCAUUGGCAUUUAAAGUCUAUAAACCCCUAGUAACAACCCAACAAGAAAAUUUUACUAACAAUGACGUUAACCUUACACCAGUACAUUACAGGAAAGAUUAAAAAAGUAGGAAGGAACUCGGCAAAUAAUUAACCCCGCCUGUUUACCAAAAACAUCGCCUCCUGACAUCUUAUAGGAGGUCCAGCCUGCCCAGUGACAAAAUUAAACGGCCGCGGUACCCUAACCGUGCAAAGGUAGCGCAAUCACUUGUUCUUUAAAUGAGGACUAGUAUGAACGGCAUCACGAGGGUUAUACUGUCUCCCUACUCCACUCAGUGAAACUGAUCUCCCCGUGAAGAAGCGGGGAUAUAAAUAUAAGACGAGAAGACCCCCUGGAGCUUUAAACUCAGUACCACCUGCCAAUUCUAAAGCCUAAUAACCACGCAGCAUUGGUAACUAGUUUUCGGUUGGGGUGACCACGGAGUAAAACAAAACCUCCAUGACGAAAGGAACUAAUAUCCUUAUCCAAAAAUUACAUUUUUAAGAAUCAACAAAUUGACCACAUUGACCCAAUUAUUUGAUCAACGAACCAAGUUACCCUGGGGAUAACAGCGCAAUCCAUUUCCAGAGCCCUUAUCGACAAAUGGGUUUACCACCUCCAUGUUGGAUCCGGGUAUCCCAGUGGCGCAGCCGUUACUAAAGGUUCGUUUGUUCCACGAUUAAA
rnacentral:rRNA from 1 species